rnacentral:rRNA from 1 species
UGGCGGACGGGUGAGUAAUGUCUGGGAAACUGCCUGAUGGAGGGGGAUAACUACUGAAACGGUAGCUAAUACCGCAUAACGUCGCAAGACCAAAGAGGGGGACCUUCGGGCCUCUUGCCAUCGGAUGUGCCCAGAUGGGAUUAGCUAGUAGGUGGGGUAAAGGCUCACCUAGGCGACGAUCCCUAGCUGGUCUGAGAGGAUGACCAGCCACACUGGAACUGAGACACGGUCCAG